GAGACACACUUCUGGGGCAAGACUUGCUUCAGUAGGGCUUUGUGCUCACUGAGUCUCCCCCCUGAGUGUGUUCCU
rnacentral:pre_miRNA from 1 species